ensembl:lncRNA
CCAAUAUGCUUUGACAAACACAUAUUUAAAGGUACAACUGACUAUUAUGUCAUUACUGUCUUCAUUAUUAUAACAGACUAAAUGAAUCCAAUAUGCUUUGACAAACACAUAUUUAAAGGUACAACUGACUAUUAUGUCAUGACUGUCUUCAUUAUUAUAACAGACUAAAUGAAUCCAAUAUGCUUUGACAAACACAUAUUUAAAGGUACAACUGACUAUUAUGUCAUUACUGUCUUCAUUAUUAUAACAGACUAAAUGAAUCCAAUAUGCUUUGACAAACACAUAUUUAAAGGUACAACUGACUAUUAUGUCAUUACUGUCUUCAUUAUUAUAACAGACUAAAUGAAUCCAAUAUGCUUUGACAAACACAUAUUUAAAGGUACAACUGACUAUUAUGUCAUUACUGUCUUCAUUAUUAUAACAGACUAAAUGAAUCCAAUAUGCUUUGACAAACACAUAUUUACAUGAAUAUUUGCAAAAAUGUUGCUUGACUUUCACAACAUCUGGAGAUACAGAUUUAUUUUAAACCCAGAUGUUCAUAUUUUACAUUAUAUUCAAUAAAACUACAUGAGCUGUUUUAAUACAAUGUGUCAAGGAGGAUUUGAAACAGGAAAGGGAUUGUUUUUUAAAUGUCGUUCCAAGAUGGUGGCUCUGUGGUGACAACCCUUCGUCUCUCUACAGGGAGCUUCUCUUCAUCCCAGAUGUCACCUUGUUCUCUAUAGAGCACUGCCUUUAUCCAGGGUCCAUAUGGGGGAUACAUAAUAGGGUGUCAUUUGGGACACAUUCCUUGUAUAUAUUCUAUAGUACUACAUUAUUGUGGGUAGCUGGGCUGUAGAGUAGAGGACAUCUUCUGGAGUGUCUUUAGAGAGGUGUACAGCAGGGUAUCUUGUAGAUUCUACAGUAUCUUUGGGUAGCUGGGCUGUAGAGUAGAGGGCAUCUUCUGGAGUGUCUUUAGAGAGGUGUACAGCAGGGUAUCUUGUAGAUUCUACAGUAUCUUUGGGUAGCUGGGCUGUAGAAUAGAUGGAAUCAUCCUGGGUUCCACUGGCUGUUGGAGGACUUGAGGAGACUCUAGAAUCUGUAGGUAGAUCCACAUUGGAGUAGAUGAGAGAAG